rnacentral:sRNA from 11 species
GCAGGUGAAUGCAACGUCAAGCGAUGGGCGUUGUGCUCCAAUUUGUCCUUCUUCCUUUUUUGAAUUGAUGCAUAGCAAAUUUGAUUCCUACGACACCGGCUUUUAGCCGGUUUUU